AGCUCCAAUAGCGUAUAUUAAAGUUGUUGCAGUUAAAAAGCUCGUAGUUGAAUUUCUGUUGAUGACAGCCGGCGCGCCUAACCGUGCAGUCGGGUUGGCAUUGAUAUCUUUCGGGUACGCCUGUUGCUUCAUUGCAAAUUGUGAUAUUCCGGACAGUUACUUUGAGAAAAUUAGAGUGUUUCAAGCAGGCAGUUGCCUUGAAUACUACAGCAUGGAAUAAUAAGAUAGGACUUUGGUUCUUUCUUGUUGGUUCACAGAACUGAGGUAAUGAUUAACAGGGACAGUCGGGGGCAUUCGUAUUUAACUGUCAGAGGUGAAAUUCUUAGAUUUGUUAAAGACGAACUACUGCGAAAGCAUUUGCCAAGGAUGUUCCCA
rnacentral:rRNA from 1 species